rnacentral:lncRNA from 1 species
AUUUUUUUAAAAAAUUAAUUACACAUUGGUCCCCAACCUUUUUGCUAUUUUUAUUUUGCUUUCUAAUUUUUCUUUUAAUUAAAAUUUUAAAUCUUUUAAUUUCAUCACGAUAAAUGACACUGUUAAAAGUCCCUAAAGAAGGCCUCCCCUUAUUUUGGGAGUUGUGGGGCCCACAUGUAAUUUUUUUUAAGAAUUAAUUGCACUUGGUUCUAAUCUUUUCGCUAUUUUUUAUUUUGGUCCUUAAUUUUUUUUUUUUGCAAUCAAAUUUUCAAAUCUAAUCUCUUAAUUUCAUCGCAAUAAAAUGACACCGUUAAAAGAGACUUUAGAAUUAACGAUAUUAUCAGACCAUCGCCUAUUUAGUUUUCUUUUACAUGUCAAUUUUAGUACCUAAACUUUAUUUUUCACUUUAGUUCGCAAAAUUAAAAAUUUAAAAUUUUGAAUUUAAAUCCGGAAUUAAUCUUAAAAUUAAUUCGAAAAUUUAUGGGUAUAAAAAGGUCUAUACUCCUAAUUAAGAGGAUAGAAGCUGAACUAUAUACACGCGCGCACGCGCGCACACACAUAUAUAUAUAGAACUAGGCUGAAAUACUAUCAAUAGCACCAAGCUAUUAGUGCUAUUAAUUUUUUAGCCCUUAGAUUGAGAAAUGGAUGGUUAGGAUGAUGUGGGCCCCCUAGGGUUGAGUGAGUGGUUGGUUGAAUAGUAUAAUCUAACGGGUAAAAAUAAUUAGAAGGUAAAUCUAACGGUGAAAAACUCGAUAGCACCAAAUCCUUGGUGCUAUUGAUAGUACUCCAGCCGGACUCAUAUAUAUAUAUAUAUAUAUAUAUAUUGUGUGUCUGGUAUGCUUCUGGAAGCACGGAGCGCUCCGUGCUUCCAAGUUGUUUUCGAUGUUCGGACUUUCGAAUUGACAAUCGGCUCCGUUAGACUUGAUCUAGAGUAUUUGAAGUAUCUAGAAAAUAAACUUUGUGAUUUUUCGAUAUCAUUUGCCUAGU